AAGUCGUAACAAGGUAACCGUAGGUGAACCUGCGGUUGGAUCAUUAACGAAGUUCGGCGUUGUGACUAUUGCGCGAGUUACCAUUCAGUUGCCACUCGUGCAUUGCCGUAUCCAGGUGGAACUCCUUGGCGGUGGACCAGCGCACGAAGGGUAGUCAAUUACGUUGGCACUCCUUCCAGCCACCUUGAAAAAGGCUGGCACCCGAAUCAACAUCUUGUGAACUGAACUGUCCCUGGCGGGGGGGUAGCAAUCAAAACCUGCUACCUGUCAGCAAAUGCGUGAGCAUUUGCCGUGGACAUCCCGUCAACAGGUCUUACACCUUUGCUUUAUUUUGAUGUCUGACAUAACAUGUAUUAAUAUACAAAACAA
rnacentral:misc_RNA from 1 species